GCGGGUUCAGGAAUACGUGGAGGGUCUGAGGAAGGCGGGUUCAGGAAUACGUGGAGGGUCUAAGGAAGGCGGGCUCGGGAAUCCAUGAAGGGUCUAAGGAAGGCGGGCUCGAGGGUCCGUGAGGGCAGGGAAAAAGGGUAGGAAGGAGCAGCCCCCUGAGGCGUCGCCGCCUGCCCGGGGUCGGUUGCAGCCCCUCAGGUCCGAGCGGGGUGAAGCUGCUGAAGCCUUCCCCGCUCCGGCGGGUCCGUGCAUGUUAAUCCCUUCCCAAUUACAAGGGAGCGAGAAUCCCCAGGAUUUUUACCUAUUUACUGCAGUCAGUGUAACACAUGGACGGAAAACCGAGGCACUGAGACCCUGUUGAGCACUGGGCCCUCAGCCUUUCCUAGAUGAAGUUUGAACCUGAAGCAUCUUUUUUUUCGUUAUUGCCAACUUUUCUGCACCUGGUUUUUUCGUUACACCACAAAAUGGUAUCUUUGUGAAAGAUAUUCAUCUUUUCCCUCGAGGAAACAGUCAGAUUAGCUGUGAAUGCAUCGGAGGGUCACCAGCCCCAGCUUGGCUUGUUUGAUCAGUUAUAUACACCUAAAAGGGAACAGGAUUUUUAAAAGCUGUGAUUUGGAAGGGGAUAAACAAACUGAGAGCUGCAUCAGCAGGUUUUUAGCCCAGGAUGAGCAGGCACUAAUAAUAAGACCUGAACAGGGCAGCAGGGUUGAGUCAGCGAGUGAAAGAAUCCCAUAAAAGCUGGACAACAGGAUGUUCUAAGAUGGAACUAAACUGGUCUGUAUGAGCAAUUAGGACAUAGUUUCAUACACACUGCAAAUAAUCACACAGCAAUAAAAUUGAUCCAAGCUUUGAAAUGGGUAUGUGAGGCAGAGUGGAGUCUCCAGGGAUUACUCACCUUCUGGGAUUUGACUCCAGGCUGGUUUCCUCUGCCAAACUCAGCCUAAUUAUUGAGGAGGAAGCAGCUAUGGCACAGUGUGGGACCUCACACUACACAUACAAGAUACAGGCAACACUUUCACAGACAGUCCACCCAGGAGCUGAUCUGCUGAAACAGGGACUCGAGAGCUCGCUCAGAUGGUGCUCAAAGGGCAAAGAUUUCAAAGCAACAAUCAGAGUGGCUCAGCAGAGGAAGGGCUGGUGGUGCUUGGAACAGCCUUCACAGGGACAUGGCUGGGAGAGUUACCAUGGGAACGGGGAGGAAAGGAGUUACACCGUCUUUGUGAUGUGCAAACCCUACUUUCUACGGACUGACGGACUGACUCGUGCUGCAGAACUGUAAAAAGGUUGAUUUUUUUUUCCUUAUAAAACAAAAAGUGUAAAAAGAGUAGAAAAUUUUCAGAUGAAAACACACAGUGCCUUUUCAGGAGUCAGUCAAAUGUCCCUUUCCAUGCUGCCAAUUCUACAGUUUUCAGAAGGAGGCAAUUAUUGCCUCCCAAACUCACUCAUAUUUUUAUAGUAAUGAAAGUAUAAAUAGAAUCUCAUAGUUUGCACAUCCCCUCAGCCUCCUAAUUUGACACCCUUUGUCUAGCACUGUUUGCACAGAAAACAGCUGCAUGGGUGCUGUGGGGAGGGGAGGAGAUCAGAGGUAUCCUGACACAAUUACCUUCACUGUUACAUCAUCCUGGAAUCCCCACAGCACCCUCACAGCUGGGAUCUGCUCUGUAUGGAACCCCCUUCACACAGCCCUAACUUUUUGGGAAAAGCCAUGCAAUUUGGACAUCCUGGGAGAGGAGAUUAGGACCAGGCAUGACUAAAGCCUGGCCACUGCCUGAGCUCUACAUGGAACUAGGCCUGUUCUUGUUGUAUAAUAACAGUGGAUUUGAUGAACUGCAGAUAGUUUGGCACUGCUUGACACAAAUCCCAUUACUGCAGUUUAACCACAGGAUCCAAACCAGCAUCUCAUCUGUACAGAGAUGAGAGAGGUCUGCACACAGGUGUUUAGCUCCAUAAAACUGAGACCAGUCUUAAAAUAAUUAAUGCUGUCUUAUGCCAAAUAGCAAAUGAAAUAUUAGCAAAAUCUCCCCACAAAGACUUAAGAUGGGAAAAUAAAGUAAAAUGGCCUU